rnacentral:tRNA from 1 species
GCCCGAUUAGUUCAGCUGGAUAGAAUGUCUGCCUACGGAGCAGAUGGUCGUAGGUUCGAAUCCUGCAUCGUGUA